CGGACGGGUGAGUAAUGCUUGGGAAUCUAGCUUAUGGAGGGGGAUAACUACGGGAAACUGUAGCUAAUACCGCGUAACAUCGAAAGAUUAAAGUGUGGGACCUUCGGGCCACAUGCCAUAGGAUGAGCCCAAGUGGGAUUAGGUAGUUGGUGAGGUAAAGGCUCACCAAGCCGACGAUCUCUAGCUGGUCUGAGAGGAUGACCAGCCACACUGGGACUGAGACACGGCCCAG
rnacentral:rRNA from 1 species